UACGAAGGGGGCUAGCGUUGCUCGGAAUCACUGGGCGUAAAGCGCACGUAGGCGGAUUGCUAAGUCAGGGGUGAAAUCCUGGAGCUCAACUCCAGAACUGCCUUUGAUACUGAGGAGCUUGAGUUCGGGAGAGGUGAGUGGAACUGCGAGUGUAGAGGUGAAAUUCGUAGAUAUUCGCAAGAACACCAGUGGCGAAGGCGGCUCACUGGCCCGAUACUGACGCUGAGGUGCGAAAGCGUGGGGAGCAAACAGG
rnacentral:rRNA from 1 species